CUCUGCGCAAGGGAUCGUUAGGUUCUAUGUACGACGAAGGCCGGAGUAGUAUCCGAUAUGGUGCUACAAGCGCAGUUAUUGUUGCACGUUGCCUAAUUGAACAGUGAUGUUCGAAUACUCCUUCUAAUUAAGCA
rnacentral:rRNA from 1 species